rnacentral:lncRNA from 1 species
ACUAUCAAACAAAUUCCUAAUAAUUCAACACUCUUAUAUGCCCUUUCCACUCAAAUUUUUUUAAAAGGGCCUUUCCCCUCAAUUAUCUCAGUAAAAACUUAACCUAAUCAUUUCAUCCUUUUGAAAUUAUAACAACAACAAUGACAACCGCAAUUCAACAGAGUAAUAUUUUUAAUAAUUAAAGUAAAAAAUAGAAAAAUAUCACUACGAAAAGUGUAACGCACUGGACCUUUGCAAAUUGCGAGGUUCGAGUGGUUGGCUGUGUGCUGAGCAAUUCCAAACUUUCUGGUGGGUCGUCGACAGUGUUCCGACGUAUGGCUCGCAUCCCGAGAAGUGAGGUUUAAAGUCUAGCACAAAAAUCCGAAAAAACGGAUUUUUGAUUAACUCUCGGAUUGCAUUUUUGAAGGCUGUGUACCGGUACAGGCUGAUGGCUGUACCGGUACAAGGUUGAUGGUUGUACCGGUACAGCCACCGGGCGUGUACCGGUACAGGGCUGCUGAACCCUGCGACCCGAGCCUCGGGUUGGGAUUUUCGUGGAUCUUGUACUGGUACAAGGGCCCGUGUACCGGUACAAGGAGGCAGUUUUCGUGCAGUUUGGACUGCAGGGGUGUUUUUGUUUUUGUAGCUCUUCUAUUUGAACCCCCACGCCUCUAGGGCUCUUCUUUGAGCUCACCACUGCAGGGAGAAAGGUAAGGGGACUCUCUCCACCUUCCACUUGGAUUUGAUCUCAUUUUUAGCUUGGAUUAAGGGUUUAAUCUCUCUCUUUUUCCCUUUUGGUGCAAUUCCACCAUUGUUGAAGCUUGGAGCUCGGAUUUGGAGCCUUGUUGAGGAAAGAUCUUUGAGGUUAGAGGAUUUAGAGCCUAGAUUGAAGCUUCUAAAAGGUAAUCUACUUAUUCUCUCCCUCUAGAUUGGAUUUUUAUUGGUGAUUUUGAGAUGAAACCCUAGAAUGAGGUUUUAGGGCUUAUUUUGGGCAUUUUGAACCUAGGACUUUUGGAGCUAGAUUUUUUGGUUUAGAACCUUCCUUGGGCUUGAAUUGGAAGGAUUCGAGUCCUCCUUUGGAGCUUAAGAGAGGAUUUUUACUCUUGAGAUGAGUUUUGGCCCUUUUUGCUUCUAGGUUAAUGUUUGAUCUUAUAGUUGAUCGUAAUGCUCGUGUAUCUCUUCGCUCGAUACUUUUAGGGUGUUUUGAGACUCGUGGACAACUUUGUUCGGCGAAACAAGGCACUAUGCGACGGUUCGAUGGGUUUGACCUAGCCUAUAAUAUGAGAAAUUCUCAUAUAUAGUGAUAUAUGUAUCGUAAAUUGGAAAAUCAUGCAAAUUCAUGUUACGUGUAUUUAUUAUGAUUUUUAGAAUGCUUAAAAUGCCUAUAUUACAUGUAAUGAAAUUUUGGACCUUUAUGUAGUAGAGAGUUGCUUGAGAGACAUAGGGUUGCAUUAGCGUUCUAUAUGAGACUUGGUUACAUGUUCCUAUUGUGUAAAUGAGCCUUGAUACAUGCAUUCAAACUUAAAUUUAAUUGAGACAUGAGAGAUAACAAAAUUGCCAUAUAGAUGCACCGAACUUGGUUAUUAUGUGAUUUAGAGGGCUAAUGUCAUUAAGCGGCAUUGAGCUCGGGACAUGGUUGAACCUAGUGAAUAGGGCCAUUGAGGGAUUGGAAAUAUGUUGAACAUUAAAUUGUCAAAGUGUCAUCAAGGGGCACUAGGCGUAAUGAACGUUGGAACUUCACAUUGUGACUUAAACUAGAUCUUCGGGAUGCUACUGACUAUACCAUGUUAGAGACAUGAUGAUUGGAUACUUGAGACUUGGACUAUGCUUGCUUGCCAUUUGUGCUCAUUCGCACAUGUUUGUGAGGGUUGCUCCCUACAAGCCGGCACUCCGGAGUUAGCCUAUGCGACCUAUGUUUGCUCGUGCGGUAUUGAGAAGCCUACGGGGUCGAGUGGGACAGACACAUUCCAAGAGCAGGAAUGUUGGGCUAUCACAGGCACUUAGGCGGCACAAGCUGGACUACCUUGAGUAGGUCCGUAAUUGGAAAUAAAAAUCGACAUGGUGUCGAGUGGGUUUUAAUCACUACUAGAUAGAGAGUAGUAGUUGGAUUACUUGGACUUGCUUCUAACAUAGUGUUGGACACUUGAGUAUAUAUAUAUAUAUAUAUAUAUAUAUAUACAUAUAGCAUGCUAGGAGAUGUUGCUUAUUGCAUUCAUGUAAACAUUGUUUACCUUAGUAAAGCAUGAUCUUCAUUAUACCAUAUAGCAAAUCAUGAUUGUUACUUGUGGUUAUGUAGGGACAUACUUGUUCAUAAUGAUAUAAAUGUGCAUCUUAAUUUGACACAAUGUAGUAUCUUAGCAUGUUAAUUAUGCUUUCAUAAAUGCAAGUUAUUUAUUACUAUUGCUCCUUUUGACUUACCCUUUUCUCUUGGGGCCUAGUGGUGCAAUGUGCUGAGGUCAGUAAUUGCCCACUGAGAACUAUAAAUUAUAGUUCUCACGCCCUCUGUUUUAUAUUUUCUUUCAGAGCCUUCCACGCUGGGAGAGGCUAGGGACCGAGGGAAGGGCGUGGCUUCGAGCUAGCUCUUCAGCGAGUGACACGUCGAUAGGUGGUCUACCUCUCUAUAUAUUUAUUUUGAAGAGGUUGAGAGCUGUACCAGUGUACUAGAGACAACCCUUUUUGUGUACUAUUUGGACAGUUAUUGUAUAACUUUAUGGAUUACUCUUAUUGUCUUAGUAUAUUUCUUUUACCUUGUUGUAGAUGAUAGAUGUACACUUGCUCUGAUAUCUCUAGUUAUAGAUUUUUUUGGUUUUAUUUUUUCGUUGUUGUUUUAGACGGCUUAUAUGUGUUGACAUAUGGCGGGUCUCGGCACGCUGCCGGGAGGGCCUCUGCCGGUCCCGGCUCGUGAGCCAGCUCGUGUUCGGCUCGUUUAUUAACGAGCCGAACACGAGCUGAAUUUUUCGGCUCAACACUUUAACGAGUCAGCUCGUGUUCGGCUCGUUUACACCCCUAAAUAUGUGUAAGAAUUAAAGUAAUUAGGCCUUAAGCAAAAUGCAUCAAGCGCUUACUAUCAAACAAAUUCCUAAUAAUUCAACACUUCUUAUAUGCCCUUUCCACUCAAAUUUUUUUAAAAGGGCCUUUCCCCUCAAUUAUCUCAGUAAAAACUUAACCUAAUCAUUUCAUCCUUUUGAAAUUAUAACAACAACAAUGACAACCGCAAUUCAACAGAGUAAUAUUUUUAAUAAUUAAAGUAAAAAAUAGAAAAAUAUCACUACGAAAAGAGUAAAAAGUGAUGAAGCGAAGUCGGUCUUGACAUAGUCGUUUGCUGCGACGAUGUAGAGUGUGAAAGAGUAGUUGUGGAUGGUGGUGUGGCAGAGGAAAUCAGGAUUGGUGUAGAGAAAGGAGAGGAUGGCGUCGAUGCCCCCUAUUUGGAUCGCGUUGAAGAAGGCGCACUUAUAGUUGGAUUAGCUAAAACUUUUUCGAUGAUGGCUCCAGCAAGAACUCCGGCCAUCGCUCUACCGCGCCACCACCGCAUUAAGGAGAGUAGACAGAGGGAGGGAAGAAAAGAGAGCUUGAAAGGGUUUUGGGUAAAGAAAGAGUGGAAUUUGAAGUUGGGUUUUGACGAGCACCAUAAAAAUUAAGAGGAAGAGAGAAGCGGA